UGUAUAAUUCCUGGGGGACGGGGUUGUUCUUUCUUUCUUUUUUGUUUGUUUUAUUUUUGGAGAAAAUAUGUAAAUUAAUGUAUGAUACAUGCAUGCACACAGUCAAUUUUAUAGCAAUUAGUUGAAGAGAAUAUUGAAAAUAAUUUUUUUUCGACGUUGUAAUUAAUGGAAAUAAAACGUAUUAUAUAAAGGGCACAUGAUGAUCAAUUUGUGAGUCUAAGGCAGGGCGUAUAAACUUUUCACAUGAUGAUCAAUUUGUGAGUCUAAGACAGCGGCGUUUUAAACUUUUCACAUGUGAAAAUGAACAAUAAGAAUGUGACAUGGGUCUCAGAUUUUAUUACAAGGAUGAAAAUUAACAUGUAGAAUUCUUCUAUAUUCCAAGAUAUACUUUUCCCUGAAUUUGCAACAUAUGUGUUUGAGAAAACUCAUUUCUAUGUGUAGGUACUGGUAUAUGAUACAGAAAUAUAAAAAAAAUUACCAAGUAUAUCAAGUCAUUGAUAUUUAACUGGAUGAAAAAUGCUUUUACAAAAUGGCAUUUAAUAUAUUCAUCAGAAUACAAAAUACUUUAGAAUGAAUAUUUUCUUUUUCUAUUGGGCAAUACAUUUAAUUGUUUAAAUUGUCUAGCACAGACUUUUUGAUUUGAACAUAUUUUAUUGUCUGGAUGUUAUAACAAACGGAUUGAGCACAAGUUAUUAAAACUUAGAACACCCUCUCCUAGGACUUUUUCCUCUAACAUUCACCGACUCAUGUGAACACACAAGACAUCAAUGAAUAAACAUAUGAUAUAUUUAGGUCCCUCUACGUCAAUGUGGAAGUAAUUAUUUUUUUUUUUACUAACAGUUAAUGAUGGGACAAUGCAUCUUAAAAGAAUUUAUGGUGAUGUAACAGAUGCCGAUAGUAUUAAUUGGUAGUGUCAUCUGCUGACAGUUGAUAUUUUGUAUUUCUGUAAAAAAAAAAAAUGAUAAAAUAUUUUUGUUAUUUGAAAUACGGUUAAAGAAUCUUACGAAAUUUUAAAAUCGCCAUCUGUAGAAAGACUGCAAUGUUCAUAAUUAUUUACUUUUUUUGUAUUUCAAUAGAAAAUAAGAUAAAAAUAUUUUUUGUCAUUUGAAUUAUGGUUCAAUAAUCUCGCAAACCUUUAAGAUUGUCAUCUGAUGAAAGGCUGCAACAUUUAAUAAAUCUUGAUAUUUUGCAUUUCUAUAAAAAAUACGAUAAAUGUUUUUUUGUCAUUUGAAUUCUUUUUGUUUUCUGUCAAUAAACUACGCCACUGUUAUUCAAUAAAUCGACGAAUGACUGUUUCUUCCUAUUAAGAUAGCCUAGAUACAUGUUGUAUGCAUAUAGACCUACCAUAUUUAUUUUUCUGUAAACUAAAUUCCGCGUUAAAAGUAGCGAUACUUGUGAAUGUUUUGAAUUAAAAAAAAAAAAAAGUUCACAUAUACAGCAUCUAAGGUUCAUAUCAACGAAACUGACGAGACUGAUGGAUGGUCAGUCAUUUCCUGUUAUUAUGGUCUAAUUUUUCCGGCGAAUAUGAAGACAGCCAAAUGUUCCAAUGUUUGUGGAAAUACACUUCUUUUUUAACGGGCUCCAUAAGAAAAUAGGCCGAUAUGAAGCCUUGCAGUUCACACCCUCAGGUGUUAUAAGGACAGAAGUUAGAAUCAGGCAAAGGCACAAGAGGUAAGAUUUACGAUAAAAAAACAAGAAAACUAUCCUCUGCAUAGGGGAAUAUUCAUUUUUAUUACGUCCCAUUUGUUGAAUGGAACUCGAUUAUCUAAAAAUCUGAAAGACAGAAAAUAGUAUAAAUUACUAAUUUAAUCAAAAAUAGUCCUAUAUAACAAAAACCUAUAUAUCCAGCAAAUCCCGACUCUUCAAGUAUCAAAUAGCACCUCUUGUUUUGCCUUUAUGCUCUUAAAACUUUUUGACUGAUAUAUAUAUAUAUAUAUAUAUUAUAUGAUUGACAUUAUUUUACAAAAAAAUUUGACACUAGUAUGUCUCUAUGACUACGAAAGCCAGACAGGAAAUUUUCAUUUACUAGCCAAACCGGAUGUGAGCAUGUGCGACGAUCCUUGUUUUCUGUCACUCAGGGAACAUGUACUUUAGAGAGUGCCAGUUUCAUCUUUCAAGGCUUCCGGUUUUCAGAUAAAAUUUACUAUAUAUCGUAACACGUAAUUCACUUCACAUGUUUGAAUAAUGACACAAUUACUAAUGCAUUCUAUCGGACAUAAAUCAACAUACGGAAUCACAGAAGUAUAAAAUCAUUUGCAUAAAUUUCCAGACUGAAUUAAACAAAAUCUCAUUUUCUGAUUGCUGAUGCAACGCUUUUUACAACACAUUUUGACCGAACAUUAUAUAAUUGCGACUAUAACUAGACUUAUGUAGUGAGAAUCUAGUCUAAACCAUAGACCCAUCGAUAACUUAUACUUCUUAACACAUGAAAGUACGAUUUCUCGUCAUUUUAAAAAAUGUGAAAAAUUCAAGGAACAUCAUUUCGUGUACAUGGGUCUUUUUUAUUCCAAAGAACAAAUUAGAUUAAACAUGAAUAAGCAAAAUGUAAACAGAGUAUAGAUUAUAACAACAGAAAAAAUAUAAACAGAAAAUAAAUUAUAACAAUAGAAAAAAUAUAACCGACCUCAAGACCAUAAAAAUGAAAAUAGACUCAAGUCAAAAUUUUUAUGAUUUAUCAUACAUAGAAGGUUUAAAAAUAAACUGCUGGUUUAUAAAACAAAUCAAAUACAAACUUAUACUAAAAAUUCAUUUUGUGAAAGUUAUUUCAAAAGUUGGUUGGAUUUGAAAUUACUAAAGUUUGUUCUCAGUUUAUGGUAAUAUUGAGGCCUGGUGAAUUUGCCCCGGCCAUCUAUCAAAAAUGUGAUUUGCAACAAUACAAAAUAUUACAAAUCAUAUACAUAUUGCAAAUAAAACCAAAUGGCAUUCACUCUCAGUACCGUAUCUUAUCACAAUUCCAUACUAUGCCCUGAAUUAUUAAUAAUUAUAACCUCUUUUGUUUUCAUUCGUUCGGAGUCCCUCGUCUCUUCACAGUAUCAUUCAUGUGACGUGCCAACAGCUGUUCUUUACAUAUUUACCUAACGGAUAACGUCUUUGUUAUACUCAGUACUUUUGCACUCUUUAACAAUCUAUUAAAAUCCAUAAAUCAGUCCAACACCUUGUUUUAAAAGCAUUGAUUUUUUUUUUAAAAAAAAGAGAGCACGUGAUAGGAAUCGAUUUAAAAAAAAAAAAAAAAGAACACGUGAUAGCUCACUCCACGGUCCACUUCACAUACCAAUCUUCAACCAUUGUUUGGGAAAUCGUGUGAUGUUAAACAAAACAUACAGAAAUUAAUUCGAACUGAAGUAACGAUUACUUGCCAUCAGGAAAAAGUAACAUUUUAAAGUGCAUGGCACUGAAAACAAAUAUACUGGAUACAACAUACGAAUUACUCUUGAUCUCGUUUGAAAUUUAUGCACAGUAGUGCUAUUUAGACAAAAGACUUUCAAAUUAUGGUGCCUCUGUGAUUGUUGCUUUCGCAGGUAACAUGGAACCUAAUAACAGACAAUUUGGCACUGAAUGCAUAUUCCGUCACCGGUAGUUAAUUAUCCCACUUAACGCGAUCAUUACAUUAUUUCUUGCAGUAUAGUAAUUUACAUCUUCUGAGAAAAUCUUCGUACAUUUGGGUGUCUGCAUAUUGUUUUUCCACCGAAUUCUUUAAACAUUAAAAACAUACCACUAUUUUUGUUUUCUCGCUGUAAACCCAAAACACAGGUUAAAUCAUUGACAAGAAAGUCAAUUUGAAAAUAGCUCUAUGCAAUUAAAAAAAAAAAUCCUUUCAAUGAGAUUGCAUAUUUUACGCCGAUAACGCUAUGUACUUCACGGUUCAAUAUAUUAUACCGUAUUGAACAAGCUUUAAAGAAAUAUUAUAAAUGUGCAUGUGAAAGGACGGAAGUGGCGUUAAUUGAUAAAAUAAUUUUAGAAUAAAAAUACCACACUUUGAUUUAAAAAUAAAACUUUAUAUUUUUGAGAUUUGAGAAAAUGCGAAUAUUUUCAUUUCCCACUCUUGUGAGAAAGUUUUAAAAUAUUAUAUAAAAUUCCUGACGAUAAAAGUUUUCCAGUGUUAUACAGUGUACUUGAUUUAAGAUUUGUAUUUAUUUUCCCUAAUUCUGUCAAAAUAUAGGUUACUAUUUAAUAAUAUAAUUAUAAAAUUCGCUGUAAAUGAUUUUUGCUGAUUUAGAAUUGCAGUAUUUUUUUAAUUUUAAUUUUUUUUGUUACCUGAAUAUCAAAAAGACAAAGAUCGUUCAGGAUCUCUGAAACUGAAUACCUGUGUUAUCCAACACGCUCGUUGCUCGGCAGAUGGUAAUUCCAUUGAAUCUGAAGAAGUCCUUUGAUAGCAAAAUAUAAAUUUACCAUCUGUAAUUGCUUUUAUGACUCGAACAACAAAAACACACGUUAAAAAUCCUAUCCGCGUAGUUUUUUUCCCCCGUGGUUUGUCGUUUAGAUAGGAUCUUUUCACCUUAUUUUUUUACUCUCUCUGAUGUAAAAUCGAUACAAUUUGGAUGACAUACAUUGCACUUUUUGGGAGAAACACCACAUUAUUAAUAAUAUUACACAAGGUGUCACAUCAUCACAACAUAUAAUUUUAAGUCAUGCCCAAUUUCCUGUCAUCAUGUAUAUAUCUAAUCGAAUUUCUAUCGCACAUUAAAAAACUUAAGGUAAAUGCAACAGUUCUUUCAACUUCCACACCAAUAUAAAGCUUUUUCUGUUUUUGGUCUAAUGUAUUUUUUCUCAUUCUUCAGUAAUACAACACACAAACAAUGCUAAAAACUUUUCUAUAACAAAGAUGAAGUUUCAACUUAUUCCAGCUUCCAUGGUACGAACUAGCUUUUCAUGAUAGCAAAUAAAUAUCCAUCAAGGUAUGUUCAAGUCGGAAUCGGGAUGCGGAUCGAAUUGGGAAGUUCACUGAUUGAUUUUUCGAACAAAAAAAGUGUAGGUCAACUUCCACAAAAUAUGAAUAUUCAUAUUUUCACUUUGUUUCCGGGAGAACUAAUUUCAUUCAUGUAACAUCCUUAUAUAUUUUCUUCCUCUUGAGCAAAAUCACCAUGAAUGGGGAAGUCCGAGCUGUUCAGAUGCUGUGUCGGCGUUUCUUGGGAGACAUUUAAUGUUAUCUGAUCUUUGCAUGACAUCGGUACGUAAAGGUCUCCAUGACCAGACGACAGUCUGCCCUGUAAGUAACCAGGCUGUGGUUGUGAAGUAGAGUGUGUAAACCCCGCGACUGAAACGUCAUCGGAAGCUUGUGAAACAUGGAAAAACAGAGCAGGCGGUCUGCAUUGGGCAACUAUUUGUUAUUGUCACUCCAUAUUCAGAAGCUCUGUUCAGGUACGCAAUUAUCGAUCCUGGAGGUGAAUUUUAUCCGAGGAAAAGGAGCGAAUUUUGACACCAAACUCCUCUGGAUGUGUAUGACGGACUUCAAACUUCACUCCGGCGCACAAGGCUUAUCCCAGUGUGAUGUCACAAUCGCCGGGACUGUGUUGUAGUGACCUUUAGUGUGACCUGAGCCGAUCAAGCUAGUGUCGGCAAGACGUAUGUCAAAGUCUAUCGAAUUUGGAAAGCAGCCAAAACAGUAUAUGUGAUCAGUAAUAGAUGUUUAAAUAUGACAAUAAUAUGAGGCACGACGAUUUACUUAUUAGGGAGUCUAAUGCACGGAGAAAUCUCCAUUGUACACAGGCAAACGGGACAAGAUUAUUUGCAAAGAAUAUUUUAUUUACAAAUACAGCAAAAUAUGUAUAUUUCUGUACACAAAGCAAUACUAACGUUGUGCGUUAUCAGAAAAAUAAGGAAGAUAACAUGGUCUUCUUCAAAAAAUGCACAGGAUAUAUUGCCUGUCUUGACAAAACGCCACCAUUCCUCAUAACAAAAUGAAACAUCGAAAUCAUGAGGAAUACUAUCUCAGAUAAAAAUCUCAUCAACGAAAAUAUACAACAACGUUAUAUAAAACUUGAAACAAUGUAAGAUUUGCUUACCAGUCGCAUUUUAUCUUAUCAGCAACUUCAUAGCUUUAUUUCCAUUCUACGAUAAAUCUGUACAAUUGUUAACAAACUGCAACCAUCAUCUCAAUAUACAUUGUAUUUCGUUUCAACUUUUUUUUUUAAUAUAAAACAAUUUUAGGAAAUAAAUUUCUACUCUACGAUAUAUAGUUUUAAAGCAGUAUAAUUUUACAUCAUUUGAUGAUAUGCAACACAUAUAAAAUUGAGAUCAUUUUUUUUUUCAAUGGCCAUUUAAUGAGAGACAGUCAUUGUCUUUUCAGGAUUGGGGUGAAGGUAAAUGUCUGUCAUGGAAUAUUUCUUGUGUGCAGGAAAGGAGCAAAUCGACUGAGGUAAUGUUCUCCAUUGUAUCAUCUAGUUAUCAGAUUUUCUAUUCAGUUUUUAGGAUACCUGUCCCUGAACGAGAUGAAUAAUGCACUAUUUUUUCCCCUCUUAAAUCUUGGAUGUAGAUAUUUUUGCUUUUUUCCCCGUACAAAUUAUAUAAUUAACAUAAUGACGAAAAUUUACAGUAAUCAUUUUUAAAGCAAUCAAAUUCAACAAUGAGAAUUAAAAAAAAAAAUUUGUUUCAUUUCAUAUACUAUUUACAAUCUGUUUUUCGUUAUCAAUUUGCUCUGAAUUAACCUGUUUAUCUGCGUCUACACGCGGGGAUGGAAAACAUUAACAGCUUAAACACAAUAUACAACAAUAAGCAGUCCUAGUGUCAGUGUAUAUCGAAUUCCCGGGGGUGGAGAGGUGACCCCGUAGCUGGGUGGACCUCGGCCUCUGACGAACACAUGUGACUGGACAGCAGGGCUCGUAUCAUGUCCAUUUCUGCCAAUAGUCUUUUAAUCUCUUCUUUCAGCUGACGAUUCUUUUCCUCCAACUCAAUGAGAAUCUUGAAAAUAAUAUUUUAGAAUUAGUCUAAUAGACUAGAAUUUUUACUGCAAGAAAUUUAAAACUCAAUGUAAUAUUUUAUUGAAAAAAUAUUUAAAUUGUAGUACGUAUUUGACAUUUCUUGUAUUCUGUAAACCCGUGAUGUUGACAGGACCAACAUCCUUCCGAUAAUUUGUAUGUAAAUAUAUAUAGGAACCAAUCGUUGCACAGAAAGAAAAGGGAAGAUAGGAAAAUGUCUAUUUCAUUUUAAUAUCGUUUUUAAUUAUCAGUUUGUAAAAAUUAUUUUGUUAGAAACAAACAUGAUUUAUUAUAAUAUUAUCAGGAUAUUUUUCAAAUGCAUAUUAUCAACAUUGUAUAUAAAUCUUGCAAAGAUGACAAAAUAUUCAAUAAAAUCUCGGUCAGUUUAAUUGGGGUGAAUGAGUUUUGUUUGUUUUGUGGUCAGGCCAAUCCCGUGUUUCUAACAAUGCUGCAGUGUUAUUCAGUACAUCGGAUGAGAGUCUGUUAGUCAUCACAUUUUCACUGGAUAUAUUUCGUCUGUGUAACUGUCUUCUUCGGUAGAAAAAUGCCGUUCUUGUUUGUUUGGUUUUUUUGUGCAGUUUGAGGAAAUCUACAUCAAAUUUAUUCUCCUAUUUCCAGUUAUGUUGUGUCAUAUGGAAUAUUAUUUUGGAACUAAAUAUCUUAUUUUGGAAUGUAAGUAACCUUUUUAACCUGAUUUUUUGCAAAUGAAUUUUGCUCUACAUUUAGAUGUUUUAUCAGAUGACACCAAACCUUAUCUUCAUUAUCUGUAUAUAAUUCAUAAAUGUACAUGGAUAUUAAAAUGCUAUAAUCUAAGUUUAUUUUAGGUAGACAAGGAAGUAACUAAUUUUUUAAAGCCCUAUUACACAUGGAAAUUUUUUCGAUGCAUUUUCCACACCGGUUAAAAUAUAUAAUUGAACCUUAUUUAAGUCUCCCGAUGUUUGUCGUCUUUUCUGUCGAAAUUUCUUGGCGGCUCUGCGAUUUUGCUCCCUUCUUCUCUCCUGCCUCUCGACUUCAAACGGCAGUAACUGGGGGAAAAAAUCAUAAUAUUAAAAAUCAAAUGAAUGGCUACAAAAAUGCAAUGAAAUAAAAUAAAAAUAGUAAAAAUAAAAUAUUUCUGUUUUAGAUCAACCAUAAUUAAUCCUAUACUAAAUAAAUACGACUUACUUAAGUAACAUGUUAUCAACAUGUGCGGGAAAAGUAUAUUGUUUGUAUGAAUUUUUUUCUAAGUAUUAUGAAAAUGUGAUUUAAUUGUGACUAGUAAUCAUUAAUUUGCAUACUAUGCGACAGUUUACUAAAACUUGCUUAUCAGAAUACAAAUUAAAUUAAACGGACGAUGAAUGGAGAAUUAAGAAUUAGUACACACAUGUAGUCAGUAUGAAUUUUAAAAAUUUAUUCACACAAAGUCUCGUCUUCACGAGUCGUGUCAUUACAUCGUUUUAACCUCACAAGUAAUGCUCUGAAAUAUAUUGAUAUUGAACAAUUUAACAACUUUAUAAUCAUUUUGUUUAAGAAUAAUCACAUUAAUUUUCAUAUUCAGCAACCAAGUCAUUUUCAUUUAUUUGAAUAUGUAAUCAUUGUGUAAUAAGAAUCACUGUGAUGUACUUAUCCUACAAAUAAAUGUUUUAAAUUAUAUAAAAAUCAUUUGAGAAAUUAAUUUUUAAGAACUUAUCUAUAAAGUGUUUCUAUUCUUAAAGUGUAAUCAAUGUAUUCUAUUUGAGCAUAUGUCUGGGAAUGUAACUGCGCAAUUUAGUGCACACCUCUCCGUGAAAGUCUACCCGCGUGAUUCAGAGAGGGAAAUGGCAGAAAAUAUCUCUCCCUUAUUGGAAUAAAAUGCAAAUUUGGAAAGUGGAUUACGGAUAAAAUUAUUGUUGAUUAUCAUUUUUAGAAAACUUGAUUAAUUGAAUUAUUCAUUUAUACGAAUAAGGAAAAGGAAAAAAAAAAAAAACCAACAACAAACAAACAGAUAAAAAAAAAUACAAACAAGCAGAAUAUGUUGAUAAAAGGCUUACCGGGCGCUUGAUUUGUACCGAUUUUGGCUCAUCGUCCAGGGUUAAAUCCUUUCCCUCCUCAAAGCACCUCUUCUGAAUUCGACACUUGAGCUCGGUUUUCAAAAGGGGUGUGAGUUUCCCCGUCUGAAAAGAUUCGAUUGUUGCCGACAGUAAUUCCUCAUCCAAUUCCUCAUCGUCCAGACUCCCACAGUCAGAUAAAGAAUACGGUUCCAUGGUGCAUGCCUCGCCUCACGUGGUUAUCAGUGUUUUGGAAAAUGCAAGAGAUGUAUCUGUUGAAUUUGAAAAAUAUUAAUAAUACCAAGUUCCCGCGAAGUCUCGCAGUGGAUGACGUAAAUAUUUUUCUCCAGAUGCAAAAAUGUUGUGACGGUCAGAUACAAGAAGUGAAGGAUCUAAAAAUAAUAUUGUGUGUCAUCCCACUACAUAGUCACCUCCCCUCGACCUCUGGAGCUCUGAAAAAAGAUGGCGAAAAUAAGAUCAAGUAACUAUUGUCUGAAAAAAGAACGUAUUUGGAAACAAAGAAAAGUUUUUCUUCUUCAAAAUUUGAAGAUUUUUUUUUACUGAAACCGAAAUUUUGUGCAAUAUUCCUUUCAAUGGCACUGUGUUCUAUGAGAGGUAAAACUUCUUUUCUUUGUCUUCAGUAACUCACCAGGAAAUUUUUAAUGACCGCACUUAACAAUUAUCCAUGAUUUUGUGUCAUUUAAACAUGUGUAUUGUCAGUCAGGUUUCAGCACGUUCUGUGUUUAUGUUUUAUUUAUAACUCUAACGUAGUUUCAAGGGGCGUAACUCGUGUCAUGUAUCUCUCUAACUAUAGGUCGAAUAAUGAGGGGUCGCUUGUCUGUCUUAGAGCGGGGCAACGUGUUUUGAAUGAUUGCGCAGAACUCUGAUAUAAGCUUGUACAUACAGAACCGGGUGCUAAAUGUAUUAAUUUCUUGUUAAGAACGAGACGGAAAUCAAUCAAUAGUGAACAAGGAACAACAGUUGAAUGUGUUAUAUAGGCCUAUUACAGUCUGCGUCAAAUCGUUAAUGCCUAGUAAUGGGGCGGGGACGCGGAUUUCCCGGACUGUAACCUGCUUCUGCAUCUACCCAUCGAUGUGGAGACUAAUUAGAAGUGACUAAUUUGUAAAGCAUUUGAUUAAACGUGUGUAGGUCCUAACUGUCGAUUUUGAUCGGUGAUCACUGCUGGGGAUUUCCGUACACUAACUUACUCACGACCGUCAGAUGUUAAGCUUUGUGUCAUAGUAGAAGUGAAUAGCUAGGGCGUGGUAGUUACUAUAACACAUUAGUACGGGCACCUGUUACACACUGUAUUAAUCAUUUGAAUGGGUUACAUUCAAUUUUACUUUGUUCUUAAUGAUGAAUAUGGUAUUUUUGAAAUAUUUAUUAUUUUAAAAAGAAAUCUUCAUUUCCCCACUGAUAGUAUGUGAUGUUUUUGUUAUCGGCAUUUUAUUAUUGUGUAUUGAUCUGGCCUAAUGUUGAUGUGAGAAUGAAAUAUUUAUAAAUUACACAGUAUUGCUGUAGCAGAGGUCUGAAAGGAAUAUCGGUCAGAAAACUAGAGUAAAAAAAAUCAUUGUUUUUUUUAUUCAAUUUCAUAUUUUGAAUAUAAAGAAAAUAGAGAAAUUCAGGCAAGUCUAAUUCCAUAAUUGAACGUAAUAACGUACUUCCUUAUCAAAAGUCUUUGUUAAUUUCACGAAAGUUACAACAUUUUAUAAGGAUAGAAAAUUUUCAUAAGUUUAUUUAUGUAUAUUGUGCUUUGUAUAUUUAUAUUGUGUAAAUUUGAAGUCGGAUGUUCGUACACUUGAUAAGAGGAUAUCGAGAGAGCCACUUUUGCUUUGUUCUUUUGCCAAACCAAGUCAUGAUAAUAUGCCCUUCACUUUGCUUGACAUAUAAAUUUGAGAUUCCUCAUCUCUUAAUUUCGACUACACAGUGUAAUUUAUUAAUUAAUUACUAGUUUAUAAGAUAUUGUUUUAUACACAAAAAUAGAUGUCAAGAAAAAUAAUUUCUGUGCGUCAUGCAUUUUGUGCAAUUCUAAUCAUUAUAGGAUUUAUGACUGGAAAAAAAAUCCUGGACUUACCAUUUAUAACUUAAAUCAAUCGAGUUUGUAAUCGCGAUGUAUAUUUGAUAUGUUUUAGAAGAAAAUUUGUGAUUGAUAAUUAUGAACAAUGAUAAAGAAACUUUUUAAGACGUAAUAAAUUCAUGAAUUAAAGAUUGUAAAUACAUUUAUAUAGGGAAAACGACUUCGACUCAAGCGGGGUAUUCGAGAUAAACCAUAUUCGAGAUACAGAUAUUUUAUUGUACAUGUAUGUAUAUAACACACCAAAUUAAGAGGCUAAAUCGAUAUGUAUAUCAUGUACACAUUGUUGUAGUUAUAUAUCACUAGUUGCAACACACGCAAGCACAGGGAAGUUUGAGAAAAUAAGAUAAUUGAUAUUAAUACAAUGAGAUCAGACUCGUUUGAAGUAUAUCGUAAUAUGAUCUUGGCAGGCAGUGUUCUGUUCCCUGGGGGUGUGCGGUGACAAUAUUAUUUUAUAAGCUGUUCAAAACAUAAUUUCUAAGCUUUCAGAGCUUCCUAUAUAUUUACAUAAAAUUAACCAUUAAUUAAUGGUCGUUUUGUAACCAUUGACCUCAGGUUAUGACGCAGACAGCUAUGAGCAAGUUUGCUGACCCCCCCCUCCCCUUCUUCCAGCUCUACCCCCACCCGCCCCAGUAAAACUCAACCUGUGGAUGAAAUUUUAUUUUUUAACUUUCAAUUUUCAACACUCAGAGAUAAAGACAGAAAUGACCUUAACUAGUGAUCUUCUAGUUCCUCUGCAUCUAGAACAUUUUCUGAAGGGAGAGGGGUGGGGUUGUACCUUAGAUGUUUUUUCCCUACCCUCAAAGGGGCAUUGCAGUUCCCAUCAUGGAACAAAACCGGUAUAGCUUUUUUAGAUUAAAAUUUUCAAAUAUAAUCCUAUACCAUCCUUAAAUCUCCCACUUCAUUUCAUUUCUUCUUUGAAUGUGUCCAGUUCUCAGAACUAAGACUUAAUUUAUUUGAAUCUAUAAAUGCAAUGCAGCUGCAUGUUCCUAUAUCCUUAGAAUUAUUACUCUGUGGAAAUGAAACUCUUAAUUUCAACGAUAAUGCAAAGAUCUUCAAAUUUGUUCAAAAUUACAUCUUUCAAAGCAAAAGACUUUAUUAAUGCAUUUAAAAUAUGUAUUUGUAAUGCAUUUAUCUAUUCUCUGACUAGUAUGUGUAUUAUGUAUUUAGCCUUGAACCGAUACCCCCCCCCCCUUUUUUUUUCUUUAUGUUUACUUGUUAUCAAAGUUCUUCUUAUUUUCUAUUAACCAUCUACCUUAUUUUUGGCAUUUUUUCUGUUUUUGUUUGUUUACUAUACAUCUACAAUACACAUUUCCCAUGUUAUCAUGACAUGCUAUGUGAUACAUGAUACAUGUAUUCUAUCUUCAUCCUUUUGAAUUAUGUAUUGAUUUUUAUAUUGUCAAUAUUUAUCAUACACAUUGUAUAUAUACUCAUGCUCAUCAUUAUACAUACAUGUAAUCACCUUGUACCUUAUUGGAGAAGGCUCAUAUAGGCUGCAAACCUGCUGUCUAAUCCAUUUAUGUUUCAUACAUAAUAAAAUAUUGUUUAAAUUAAUCUACACUACUAUAUAGUGAUUACAACACAAUAUAUAUUAUGAUAUAUUAUCAGCAUUAUCUCUAACAUUCAACAAACUACUAUAGUAUUACACAAGAUCGUAAAUACCGAGUUAGCGGAACUCUCUUGUAAAGAAGUCCGGAAAAGCGUGUCUAUCUUGGGCAUUUUUUUGUUUAUUCAAACACGGCAUCGGAAGACGAUUUAACCCGUGCUUUCCACAAUUAAAAGCAUUUUUAAAUGAAUGGUGUGUGAAACGUCUGGAUACAGGAAAAAUGAACUGAAUUUGGCUCGUGAAGCUCUAUGUUUUGACGCAAGCUCUUCUCAGCUUUGGGAAUUUCCUGGACAGCAGUGGGAAGAAAUCCACAUAAUUUCCAUUAAAAUCUAUCAUUUGUGGAUAUUUCUGCAUAUUAGGUUUCUUUCUUGAAUCAUUACUACAGCCUACUGCAAUGCAAUGAUAGUGCACCAUUGUUAAAAUCAGGUGAAUCGAUCACGACAAAAGUUGCAAAACUGGUAUUAUUUACCAACAUGCCCAAAUUCUCGCAUACUCUGGGUCUCGCGAGACUUUGAAAGGGGAAAGUAAAAUUUAAAACCAAGACGGAAAAAGUAGUCGCGAUCUUGCGUAUUACAACACAGUAUAUAUUAUUAUAUAUUAUCAACAUUAUCUCUAACAUUCAACAAACUACUAAGCAGUUAGGAGUUAACAUUGAUAUCGAGUGUUUCAGACUCCUUUGAAAUCUAUUUUUAGGUAUGGGUCACGUCUCUUACCCCUCAUGCUAAAUUUGUUGCUCGAAUGCAAAGUGACAAUGGGAUCAGCUAGUUUUACGGGUGGAUCUAUACUUUUCUUGCUACUUUAAAGCUAGAAACCCGCAGACAUGAUUUUGAAGCUCUCUUAGGACUAAAAAGCGUCUUAAUCAAGACAUGUUAAGGACUCAUAGGAGAAUAUUAGGAGUUAUGAGAUUGAUCACUGUUUGUUAUCUUCACCUUUCAUCAGCUCUAAGUGCCUUUUUCCAAAGUAUCAUAGAAAAAUUCCUAAGAAUUGUCUUAAUUUUAUUAUAGCUACUAAGCCUAAGUUGAUAUAAGGAAAAUAUGUUAGGGUUCGUCCAUGUUGCUUUCAAUAACUAGCUGUAGGAAAUCCCCGUAUCAGGUGUGAUAGAGUGCUCUGUGGACGUUGAUGACCCUCUUGGUUAUCUUUAUGAUCACCCUAUCCUUUUUUGUACAAACUAUCUGAACAGUUUUAAAAUAAGGUGACGGGGGACAGUUUUCUUGGUUCUGAAACAUGUGGGUAGGGGGUAUAAACCAAAGUCAGAUUAUGACAGACUAAUGAAAAAUCAUAUUUCCCUUUUAUGUUAAUACUUGUAUUUCAUAUUGGUUUAGGUAAUAGAUAAUGACCCUAAAUUACAUGUAAUAUAUACAUACUGGUGCUGGUGCACAAAACAUGCUCUGAGCAGGUGCCCCUUUCUCGCUUUGAUUUUCUCCCAUUUGGGCUAAUCCGCACCACCCCCACACCAUCACAGUACCGUACGAGGGAAUUUAGUCUGUCCUUCUUAAAAAUCAACCUUUCAUAUGAGGCCAUCCACCUUCCCUCUCAGCUAUAAUCUCGGUUGAGAUUCGGCUUGGCUGAAUAUUUGGACUGACGCCUUCACCGAAUCUCGGAGCAGUCCUUCAUAAUUCAUGUCUGGAAAUUUACUUUCAGCUUCAGCCAGUUCUACCAAUUAAUGUGCACGUACGUGACACUGCUGUUCGCUUCAAUUAAGUGAUUUGACUGUUAAACUAACUCUCUAUCACUAUUAAUGCUGUAUUACUUACCGUCUAAAUAUGUAAAUUCCAUAAAAUAAACCAUCACUAAUUUUCCCUUCAAAUGAAGACUUCAAUGGCACAAUAUUUUAUCUCCCAAAAUUGAAGAGUUCCUAUAAUUUGUUUUUUGAAUUAACGAAAUGCAAGUAGGUAUGUAGAGAUACGAUGUAUCAGUAACUAGAUAAAGCAGACUAUAGGAAAUCUUCAAUUCCAUGAGAUAGAAUAUUGUGCCAUGGAAAUCUUCAUUUGAACGGAAAAUGUAGUGCCUGUUUUCAUUUUGGGAUUUUUUAUACCUAAAUGGUAAGUAAUACAACAUUAAUAGUGAUAGAGAGUUAGUUUAACAGUCAAAUAACUUAUUAAACACCCAUCUAUAUGCCAGGAAUCAUGUUGCAUAUCAACUUAUUCAUUAAGCACUCAGCUACACUUGAUUUGUAUCCUUAAAUAAUUUUAUACAUGUUUACAUAUGUAACAUCACUUCAAAUAUAGGGUAUUUCCAUUUUUCAAGAACGUUGAACGGGCCCAUAGUGCGAAACUAACACCCAAAUAUGAGGUCUCACGCAUCUUUUUAUUUAAACAAUAUUUCAUUCACAGAUAAGUGAAUGGGAUCGGGCAGCAGACAUAGCCUGUUUUAGCCCUCUCCCAACAUCAAUGUCACAAUGAAUCAAACACAUGUACAUACAUAUGUUAUGUGUAUAAGAUAAAAUGUAUAGAAAAAAGAGACACGAAGAUAUAUAUAGUUAUGAAAAUAAGCAUGAAACAAACGGUAGAAGUAGAACAAAAGUUCUCGUGCAUUCCCUGUGUCUUUUCAUGUCCUAGUGUUUGCAAAAUAAUAAAAUACAUAUAUCAUAUCUUCUAGAUGUGGCCAAUACAACAAAUUAUCAUAUCUGUGGAGUCGAAUGACUUGACUAAAAGAUGACUGAAUUUAACAAAUAUGUCCAAUAUUAUUGGGUGUAUUGAUGGGGCACACAUUAGGUUAAAGUCCCCAAAUGUUGAUGAACAUCUUUUAUGUAUUUAUAUUUCUAAUACUCUUCUGGUUUAGAGGUUAGAGCGUUCGCCCCGCAUGCGGAGGGCUGGGGUUCGAAUUCCGGCCGCGACAAACCUAAGUCGUUAAAACAGGUAGUGACAGUUCCAUCGCCAAACGCUCGGCAUCAGGUGUGAAUGUCAAGGGUCCUUGGAGAUGACCUUAAAAACGGAUGUCCCGUGUCACAGUAGGUGUGGCACGUUAAAGAACCCUCACUGCUCAAUGGCCGUAAGCGCCGAGCAAAGGCCUAUAUUUGAAGCCAUUCACCGGUCUUGGUGACGUCUCCAUGGGAGUGGAAAAUUCUCGAGAGAGACGUUAAACAAGAUGCAAUCAAUCAAUCGAAUUGUAUACUGAUAGCCAUUUCCUCAUGAAUGCAAUGCAGUUGUGAACAACGCGGGUAUGAAUCUAAAUAAAUGUAGUACGUCAACGGCUGGAAGUAGAAUGUAAACAUAAAGACUGAACUUCAGUUUUGUAAAUACAUGAGCUUAUGAACUGCAGCGCUUCACGCCGUCGUACUUUUCAUUCCUAAACAUAGUAUCAAAAUGACACAACCUUAUCGAUUUUUCUCACCCUUCUCAUUCAAGUUAAAUUCUAUUAUCAUAAACUUAAAAAAAGAGGAUCUUAAUUUAUCAAACGAUAUUUAUAUACAUUGUACAAAGUGUUCAAGGUUUUUAUUCAGUGCGAUAGGCUUUCAAAGUUCUUUUAUUUUACUUUAUAUGAUCAUUUUGACAGUCACAUAUUCGUCUUAUGCUAGAACAACCCUAGAUCAGCUCUGAUUAACAUGCUUAAUUGUUUCUUAGGACCAUCCUAGAAUAUUUAUAAGAUGAUUCAUAGGAUCUUUCGUUAGACGAUUCUAAGUUUCGUAAACAUGCCUGCUAAAUUAUGCACCCAUCAAUUGUUUUGUUCGAGGGGGAGGGUCAUCAUUGCAAUUCCCCAAAUCCAAAAUAUAAGUGUACUUUCUUUCUUCCUAGAACACACAACUGGCUUUAAUUUGUAUAUACUGUUUUGUUUUAAUUUUCAAUACAUACCCAUCUUCAGUUCUUUAGUUAACAGACAUACUUAAUACAUUUCAUGUAGGAAUAUAUUGAGAUCAUAGCCAGUCAUUUUCAUAGAAAACCUGACGAUGACAAUUGAUGAAAAAUUCCAUCACACGACAAAAGAUAUUUAUUUCACUGCAUAAAGUAAAAUUUACUCUGUAAAACUAAAAUAGUUUAUAAUCAGUUUGAGGUUCGGUAAACAUACCCUAAAAAAUGUAUCGAAACAGAAGAAGUAUACUCAUUGUAACGUUAGAAUCACCAAAUAUGUUGACAAAGCAGACCGACUAUCGCCUCAAAGACACCAGAAGUGGACCUAUUGCGAUCAUGAAGUAGUGGACCUAUUGCAAUAACAAAUCUAGAGAGACACCGAAGUAAUGGACCUAUUGCGAUAACAAAUCUAGAGAGACACCGAAGUAGUGGACCUAUUGCGAUAACAAAUCUAGAGAGACACCGAAGUAGUGGACCUAUUGUGAUAACAAAUCUAGAGAGACACCGAAGUAGUGGACCUAUUGCGAUAGCAAAUCUAGAGAGACACCGAAGUAGUGGACCUAUUGCGAUAACAAAUAUAGAGAGACACCGAAGUAGUGGACCUAUUGCGAUAACAAAUCUAGAGAGACAUCGAAGUAGUGGACCUAUUGCAAUCACAGAGACAUGGGAAAGGUCAACCUAUCGCGAACAUUGAGACACCGAAAAACUCAACCUAUUCCGAUUAACACUGAAAGUCAAUCUAUUGCGAAGACAGAAACACUGAAAAAGUCAAUCUAUUGCGAACGCAGAAACACUGAAAAAGUCAAUCUAUUGCGAACGCAGAAACACUGAGAAAGUCAAUCUAUUGCGAACGCAGAAACCCUGAAAUGGUCCAUUUAUUGCGAGCACUAUCAAAAUACUAAGUCGUACAUGACGAAUUGUGACGUCAGAGGAAGCGGAAAAGUGAAUCUAUUGUAAGUUAUUUCAGAGUAACGAAGAAGUAGACAAACUUCAGACCCACCAAAUUUGUAGUCCAUGAUGAUUUAAAAGACAUCAAAACAUUGACCUGUUUCCACCAUAGAGACUCUAAACACCCCCCAACCCGACCUCCAACUUUUCACCAUUCGCCGCCAGAAUAUGACUGAAAUAUACAUCGUAAACCUAAACGUUAUCGAUCAAUCAUUCAUUGUUAAAAUCAUUCCUAUUAUUAGAGUAUAUAUAACUGGUACUGAGUUGGCAUGUGCACGUAUGUUCAUUCGUUCCACCACAAUGUUUAGACUUCUAGAAUAGUCUUCUACAGUUAGAAACACAAUUUUAUCCUUAAAAUGACUCUCAAAAAAAUUUUUUUAAAAAAAAUGCAUGAAUUUUUUUGGAGACAAAAUGAUUCUGAUUCUAAGAUGCAACUUUAUGGUUAGAAGCAAUAUUCCAUUUAAAACAGUUCCACUUUUUACUUUUUACCACAAUUAAAAUAUUUUGGUAAAACGUAGAUUUUUUUAAUGGCUUGUUUAUAACGGCGUCUUAAUUAACAAUAUUUAGAAUUUUAGUACACGCGUGUAUCUUUUCACCAAAGUUGGAAAGUAGAUCUUGUAUUGGAAAAAAAGUAUGUGGGGUUUCUGGACACCCCCCCCCAACCCCCCAGACAAUUCACCCUAUUUAUGUGGCGCAAAAUUGGUUGAACACAUUAUAAUGGAUUUGUCAAGCGAGAAAUGGAGCUUGAAUAUAUUUCACAUAAGAUCGUUAAUUUUUGAUGGACCAUGUAUGAAUAUUUAGGUAUCGUAUCUUAAUUGAAAGAGAGCGAAAGGUGGAGUAAAUUUGAAACAAUUAUAAAGAACUAUAUAUGAUAAGUCUUCCUAGGCUCCAUAAAACUGAAAAACUAAAAAUCCUAACCCAUCCUUCACUGGAGUACAUGAUAUUACAAAAGACAGUAUCUUAACUUUACUCAGUUAAAAUACUUAUCUUUAGAACAUUUCUCUUUCAGAAAAUAUAGAACUGAACUUUAGGCAAAUGAAAUAUCCCUGUUAUAUGGCAUAGAAAGUACUUAAUGUUGGAAGAAAAAUGUUACAACACACACACGCGCUCGGCGGGAAAAUGUACCGUUUUGAUGUGAUGAUUCUCAAUCUAGAUAAUUUUAGUCAAAUUUAGAAUAAUAACGAAAUUGCAUCAGAGUUUUUGCACGAAGCAGACUUAUGAUUAAUUCUGAUUCAGAAGUAGGAUUGUAAAUUUUUAGGGGCAAUUAAAGCCGCUAUAUACAUAAUUCCUUCAUUUAAUGAGAUGGCGGUCUGAAUAUUUAUUUUUUAGCUUCGUUGAGUUUAAUGUUUAAUUUGUUUAAUAAGCCAAUUGGUAUAACUUCGUAAAAGAAGUUCACUAACAAUAGAAAAAUGGCAGAAGUGGUUGAGAAAAUUCUCCUUCCCAUGACCAAGUUUGAAUGUGAUUCCAGCAAAUAACUAAAUUUUCCAUAUAUAUAUAUAUAUAUAUAUAUAUAUAUAUAUAUAUAUAUAUAUAAAGUUUGUAAAAAGAAUUCAGUAUUUGAUACAGUAAAUACAUCCAAUAAUAAAAGUCAAGAAACACAAAACUCGAGUUUUGUGUUUCUUGACUUUUAUUAUUGGAUAUAUAUAUAUAUAUAUAAACGUCUUCAAAAUAAGAACAAUCUAGAGAAAAGUGAUAUUGUAAAUAAAUGAAGCGGGUUAAUAUAGACAAUGACUGCAGCCUAAUGCUGAUUAUGUGUCAUGUUGGUUGCAUAAUGAAAAUUAUUUGUCUCAUCACAAUAUUUAAUGCUGAACAAAAUUAUUAGAUAGAAUCUGUAGACCUUGAAUAAUUUACAGAAACCACAUCCUUUAUGUAGGACCGGACAAAAGAUUUUGUGGUUUCGUGGGCUGUUUUCCGAUAUGUUUAUACCUGAUGAGGAUUAUAGGACACACAAAAGUGGAUUUAAUUCCAUCGAUUUAUUUAAAUAAACUUCAUCAGAAACUAGGGAAGCUAGUGAUAAUUUCACUCAGUGUCAGGGCCUAAUGACGACCGGGAGGAUCAUUACUGCUUAUAUUUUUCUCUUGUCUCAGAUGUAGGUCUGAAAUAUAUUACAAUAAUUUAUUACAAGGAUAAAAUCAAUUAAAAUACCAAUUUUGAAUUCUGGAAACUUGAUUCAAAAGAUAGCCAAUCUGUUUCACGGUGGAAUAAUUAUUUAACACAGAGAGAUAAUAUUAUUGCACACACACACACACACAAACGCACACACAUACACACACAGAGAUAGUAUUAUUCAACACACACAGACACACAGAUACCCCCGUAAGUACAUACUUUAUAAUGAUUAGUACAGUGAAAUAAUGAUUAGUACAGUGAAAUAAUGAUUACGUGGUUUUAUAAACAUGAAAGUGUUAUGAUACGUUAGCGUGUGACUUGGCACAUUAUGUAAACCAGAUGUGAACAGGUUCAACAACCUCAGGUAACAAGGUAGGUCCUUCUCUGCAGAUAAUGCUAUCGACCAAUUGACAUGUACAUGUUGUGUAAUUAUCAGCCUAACAACUACUAACAUUGGUUUCUACAAUGGUAACCGAUUCAAGAAUAGCCAUGUUGAUGAAAUUGAUCAUUAUAGCUUUUACCGUAUCUAGUACCUGCUUUCAGUAUUCAGAUCAAAGUUUCUUUGUGGAAAAAAAAAAUUAAAUUGCGCCAUUCAGUUCACUUCAGCACCGUCUAUCAUCGCAAAUCGAAAUUAUUUAAAGAGAAAUUCUCAGGGACUCUUUUCUUAAGAGGGACUCUGACGAUCUGUCUGACGAGAGACUCUCUCUGACGAGGGACUAUGCUUUUACGAUCUGUUCGACGAGAGACUAUCUGACGAUCUGUCUGACGAGGGACUGUCUGACGAGGGGCUAUGUUUAACAAUUUGUGUGACGAGAGACUGUCUGACGAGGGACUAUGUUUGACGAUCUUUGUGACGAGAGACUAUCUGACGAUCUGUCUGACGAGGGACUCUGUUUGACGAUCUGUCUGAUGAUUGGCUCUGUCUGACGAGGGACUCUAUCAAUUCUAAAAUCCCAGCCACUGAGAAGAGGCUUAGAAUGGAGGACAAUGGCUGAGAGUCAGACUUUGCUAAUCAGAGGGAAGAGGUAUAUGAAGUAUUUCUCGCCCAUUUAACAAAAACACCUCACGAUAGGGAAUACAGCAGGAUUGUUUUCCUGUCACUUGACUGAUAGUGCAUUUUAUCCCAAGUUUACCAAUCACACGUGAGUUGUACAGCAUACCAGAAAUUUCCUAAUUUCCUCAUAACAAUGAGAACAAGGAAAAUAUAGCAGGCACGUGACAGAGGUGCACCGGACAUGUAUAAUCUUUGAAAAUAAAGUUUACGAUACUUUGUCCUUCUACUUUCAUUUGUUUCUAUUUUUAACGAAAAGCACUUUCUAUUUUUUUAAAGAACAAACAAUACAUCAUUAAUGACUUAAAAAUAGAAGUGAUCGAUAGUGAAGAGAGAGAGAGAGAGUGAAAGAAAGAGAGAGAGAGUGAAAGAAAGAGAGAGAGAGUGAAAGAAA